ensembl:lncRNA
UCCGCCCCUCUCCGCAGAGCCUGCUCCGCCCCCGCCUACUCGCGCGCACCCCUCCUUCAGGCUCUGGCGCAAAGGGAGAGUCUGCCCUGCCGCUAGCGGAGCGUGACUGUGUGGGAACCAGGCGCUCUUGCAGUGUGGCGGGAAGGGAAGCCUAGAGUCUCCCACCAUCACCACCUUCGUGGUUUGAAGAGGAGAGUGGCGUCCCACUUCCAGGCGAAGAUACCAUCCUAAUGCCAUCUAGGUAGAAGAGGUGUCAGCUUCCCUACCCUGAGAUGUAAUGUGACCAAUUGUGUCCUGUUCCUGGUGCUGUGACUUCCUGCCACGGUGGGCUGCAACCCCUCACAGAGGGUGUUUCUGUCUGUCUCCAUGCUGAUGUAAUAAAUGUGAGAAUGAAAUGUCCAGAUGCCACCUCAAGGAGUGGCUUGUCCCUGCUGCCAGCUCCUGCACGGUCAGCUUGCAGGUAAACCUGCACUGAAGACUUGAACUUAGGACCCAAGGGCCAGCCUGCUCUAGUCACUACUGCACAGCUUUGCAGGCAUCGGCCAAGGCUGCUUGGUCUGCAACAUGGUUCAGCUGCUCUCUCUUCCAAGUCCUCUCCCUCCCCAGCUAUUGAUCCCUGAUCAAUAUUCCACAUGGCAACUCCAUCUCGGCAGCUGUUCAGAGAGCCAGAUUGGUGGCAGUUAGUGUCCAGGGAGGAUGAUAAAGCAGACAACAGAGUAGGACCUCAAUCCAGAUGACUGACCAAAAGGUGAGGACAGAUUGGCCCAAGCAUGAGGUGACCCUGGUUUGAGUGUUACGUGCCCACUGGAAGGGACUUGGGGCAGGGCAUAUGUGUGGAAAGGAUGCACUAGCUAGCAUGCCGUACAAGGCCUGGGAGAUGUGCAGGCAAGUUGUUGCCAUAGAGACAAUACAAUUAGAUGAAGGCUUAGUUUCCUGACUGCCAUAAUAAAUUACCACAAACUUGGCAGCUUAUAGGAGCAGAAAAAUGUUCUGUAGACCAGAAGUCCAAAGUCAAGGUGUCACUGUGCCCGUUCUUCUGGGAGCUCUGAGGCAGAGUCUGCUCAGUGCCUCCCUCCUGGUGGCUCCUGAGGAAGCCUGGGGCUUCAGACUCUAUGUCUGAGUCCUCCUUCAUUUGUUGUUAUUUCCCAUGUCCUCUGGGUCCCAAAUCCUCCUCCCUUCUCUCAUGAGGAAAGACAUCUCUCUCCUGAAAUAAUGCUUAUCUGGAGUAUGAGCUCAUGUUGAAGACUUUGAGUCAUAUCUGCAAUGACCCCACUGCCACCCUCAGAUGUCUGAGAUCGAUUUGUGUUGGAGGAGCCGCAACUGAGCCUACUGCAGAUGCUUGCUGUUACUGCCUGUUGUUCCAGCUGCUCCAGAGGCUGAGGCAGAGCAUGGCUUGUGCCCAGGAACUCAAGACCAACCUAGACAGUGGUAUGAGACCUUAUCUCUAAAACAAAACCAAAGAACAACCCCACUAAAUGAGAGAGAGAGAGAGAGACAGAAAGAGACAGAGAGAGAGAGACAGAGAGACAGAGAGAGACAGAGAGAGAGACAGAGAGACAAAGAGAGACAGAGACAGAGAGACAUAUACAGAGAGACAGAGACAGAGAGACAGAGACAAAGAAAGACUGACAACUAUCAAAGUCAAAUGCCCCUCCCCCUGGGAGCCUACCAAGAAGACGUCAUCUACAGCAGGUGGGCAGAAGGGCCAAGCGAGAUCCUGGACUUCAUACUCACAGGGGCUAAGCUCCAGAGAACAUGAACUAUCCAAUCAAGGCAAACCCAUAUGCCAGGGCCGGGCCCUGCCUAAGGAAAAAGGGGAGGAGGGGGUGGCUGACACUUGAGCUGGGGACAUCUGGCCUGCAGUAUUUGCUUGAGAAGCUCUGAGCCAGCAGCAGCAACCCAGACUUUUCCCAGCCAGGACAAGAGCUGCCCCUCAGGAUCUGAUCCUCCUCCCUUCCUGGCCAUGAGACCCACAUGUAAAUGCGCUUGGUGAGGAAAGAGACUACCCCAGAGAGAGACCAGGACAGCAUGUGUCCGUGUUCAGACAUAAGCAGAGCAGGAUAGUAAGGACAUCUGGUUAUCAGGCCUGGGGAUUUAAAAAACAAAAAGUAAGACUGAGUUCUGGAAAGUUUAGUAAUUUCUAAGCACACUCUCAAAAAAAAAAAAAAAGCCCAAGAGUUAACACUCUGGGAAGAACAGUGGGGGAUGGAGUAAAGACCACAGUGUGUUUAUUCUUGAAAGCACAGAGGAAUGGUUCACGCCAAGUGAAGUUGUCGUUGCUGAGGAAAGAUGAAGAGGAGAUGAGGACACUCAGCAGGUCUGGGAAGAUGGCUCAGUGGUCUCCAGCACUUGCAUAGAUGUCAGGUAGGCGCUGUGGCCUGCCUGUUGCUUGGGAGACAGAGACAGGAUCAGUGAGAACAAGCUGGCUAGGUAGCCAAACCGUGGAGCUCAGGGCUCAAGUGAGAGACACCCAGUGUUAACCUCCGGCCUCUAAGUGCUUACACAUUAACUCACACAUGUGCACUCCCACACGCAAACAUGUAUAUACGCGGGCAUAUACAACAUAUACACAAAUACAAGCAAAAUCAUUUUUUUAAAUGCUCAAGGAAGACGAUGUGUCAAGUCUGCAGAGAGACAAAACCAACAGAAUACAAACAGCAAGAACUAGCUUACAGUACUAUAGGAGCUGAUAGGUCCUAAGAUCUGUACUUGGCAAGCAGAGUGCCCAAGGGAGCUAGUGCUGUGGCAAGGCCCGGGGAGAAAAUGUCUUUAAGUCUAUGUCUUAAGCAGGGAAACCUAGGCAUGGUGGCGGCCGCACUAGUUACAUAGUGAGAUGAUGCAGGUGGAUCGGACGAUCACAGAAAUGUGAGACCAGGCCACACUCCACAGCAAGACCCUGACCCACGAAACAAAAAUUCAAAGACAGAUCUUCCGUGUAGCCAGGACUGAUGGUACAGUACAAAAUGAUUGGGCUCCAGAACAAGGGAGGCCAGGGAGUGGCAACCAUUGCCAGAAGCCACGUGGAGAUUACUGCACUCGGAAUGAUGCCCAAGGGGGAUGAUUCAGAGAACAGGUCAGUGAAGGCAGCACGGAUGAUAGGCUGUGCUACCUGAGGAAAGAAAAUAGGGAGCUUAACAUGAGGCUCCCACAGGACAGCACAACCCUACGCCCUCUUCCACCUGAAUUCCACAGUGGAGGCAGAGUUAGGACCCCUGAAUCUCCACACCAACAAACACAGUGAGGACUAGCAGCAUCCGGCCCUGAAGGUACCCAUGGCAACCAUUCCCAUCACACUUCUCUGCAGAAUGGCAGAUGCACUUAGAAGACUUGAGGACAUGCGGUCUGAGCUGACCUGCAGUGCCCUGGCCUCCUCUGACAGAGCAGGGGGUAUAUAGGAACACAGUCAUAAAUGGAUCCCUGGGUCAGAGACCAGGAAAAUGGCUCUCCACUCUCUAACCUCUACCCUGCAUCUCUGCUCCCUCUCCUCAUCCCUCCCUCUCUUCAAGCUUAAACCUCUUCCCCUCUCCUUCCUUUUCUCUUGUCUCUCUACUGCACUUCUGUUUCUACAACCCUCACCCCUCAGUCUUACACACUCUCCCUCAGCUUAGGCUGUUAGAAGCUUUUGCAUCAGUUCAUAAAGCCCCUACCCCACCCUUCUUCUAAUUACCUUCUAUUGUGCCUGCACUCGGUUCAGAAAUUAUCUCUGAAGCUUCAGGAGAACCGCCUCAAGGUCUCUGUACCUGUCACGAGCAUGAUAGCAACUAGACUCUAACCACCAGAAUCCCCUAAAUUGAUCUAGCGACUCAGAGCAAUCGUUAUUGAAACUCAAGCUGACUUCCAUUCAGAAACUGGAAAGCUGUCCUAAAAUUCAUGCAGAAAUACAGGUGAUCCCCAAUAGACAAAUCUACAGCAAAGCAAGGGAGCAUAGAUUACCCUAAGGCUCCAAGUAUAGGUCAAUGGAAGAGAAUCGAUUGCACGGAAUAAAACCUCAAGUGCACAACUGAGUUUUGCCUGGAUAAUUCAAUGAAGACCUGAUCAUCCCUUCAACAAAUGGUGCAAGGACAAGGGGAAAUCCACAUGUGUCCAUGGUCCACAAAAACUGGCAAAAAUGGCUCAAAGACCAGAACUGAAGAGAUGAAAAUGCUUACUCAAAUACAAAAGCCCUCCUCCAACCGGGAAAUACAAGUCAAAACCAUGAGAUCCCACAGAAAGGGCUACAAUAAAAAGACAGUGAAUAUGAUGUUUCUUAAAGAAAUUAAACAUAGCCAGGCAGGGUGGUGCAAGUCAAUAAUGCCAACCGUCAGGAGGCAGAAUCAGAGAGAUCAGAAGUUCAAGGCUAGUCUCAGCUACCUAGUUAAAUGCUGCCUGGGUAUGAUGGUUCGUGUUUAGAAUUGCCAGCCUAAUAGAUUCAAGAAUCACCCUGUGGGUGAACCUCUGUGGGAAGACACCACCCAUUCCCACCGUGGGUGGCGUCAUUCACUUGACUGAGGUCUUAGAGCGUGUGAGCAGAGAAAAGGAGCUGAGUAGCUGGGCAUUCACCCCUCUCUACUUUCUGACUGUGAAGCCUGUGUCACCACCUGCUUCCAGCUCAUGCUGUAUUGACAUCCCCACCAUGUUGGACUGGACGCUCGGAACCAUGAGCCAAAAGAAACCCUUUCUCCCCCAGGUUGAUUUUGUCAGAGGAUUUGGAGAUUUUUUUGGUAUGGUUCUUUGUUUUUAAUCACAGCAACAGGAAAAAAUGAAGACACUGGGCUCUAUAUAAAACACUGCCUCAAAAAAAAGAGAGUGAAACAAAAUUACCCUAUGAGCUAUUACCUUCAUGGCGGGGAACUUAAAGCAGGAACAUGAAAGUAUGUCUGUACCUUCAGAGGAGUGUUGUUCACCACGGCCUGAGUGUUGAAGCUAUCCCAGUGUCUGUCUAUUGAAAGGCCGUUCAGACAAGGCAAUGUUGCUCAGUCCUUUUUAGUGAUGAUGUGUUUAUUUAUUAUACACACACACACACACACACACACACACACACACAACAUGAUGCACAUGUAGAGAGGUCAGAGGAUGAUUUGAAGGAGUCAUUUCUCUCCUUCCACCGUGGGCUCCAAUGGAUGAAUUCAGGUUGUCAGACUUGGUGACUAACACCGUUACCUUCUGAGCCUUCUCACGCGUCCUAUACUCACGCUUCAAAAUGAAGGAGGGGCUUGGGAAAUGGUGUAGUGGUUAAGGUUCUUGCUACUCAUACAUGAGGUCCCAAAGUUGGAUUCCAGACCCAUGUUGUGGGUGUGGAGACCCAUCUGUAAUUCUGGCCUCAGAAGAUGGAGACAGAGGAGUCCCAGGACACACUGGCUCACAAGACUAGGCGUACCAACCAGAUCUGGGUUUGGUUACGAGAGUAAAGUAGAACAGUGAUAGAAGGUGAUCCCCAGUGUCAACCUCAGGACUUCGAGGGAACAUGCCCACUCUCCCAUGCACCUGCAAGCGCCUGCGUUCAGCAUAUAAACAUUUGUACCAGAAGGGCGUGGGGUGGUAGGAAGGAGAUUCCGGCAUCCACGUGGAUGAGCCUUGAGGACAUUGUGGUAGGUAAAAUAAGCCGAUCAAGAAGGGGAAAAAAGAUAAAUGCUGGAUGACUCCAUAAUAACAGCACCUAAUAUGAUAAAACUAGUUGAGCAGACAGCUGCCCAGGCUGGGGGGAAAGAGGCUGGGGCACUCAGAGUCAAAGAGGAAAGAACCCUAGUUUAGGAUGAUGUUGGCUUUGGCAAUGGAUGGUGAUGGCUGAAUAGCAUUGCGAAUUGACUUAAUGACCCUGAGUUGUGAGGUUAAAACGGAAAUUUUCAUAAUAUGUUUUUCUAUAAUAUUAAAUAAAGGGAUUUUUUAUAGUUGCCUAAACUUACCCAUGCCAAAUAAACAGGCUGGGAAUAGCUCAGUAGAGUGAGCAUGUUAAAGGCCUGGGAUAGCACGCCCAUCCAGGCACUAAGUAUGAUUAUAGAUCAAAACAUGUAAAAAACACGAGAAGAAUCAUGGAUCGAGUCCUGCUCCCCCAGCUUGGAGUCUCAGGGACUGUCCUCUAAUCACCUUAAAUAGUUCCAAAUACAACCUAAUAAAACAUUCUCUUGCCUUCCGAAAGGCUCCCCAGAACACUAAAGAACAUUGGUUUCUUCCCCGUGGACUGGGAUUAUAUGACUUCAGUGUGGACCCACAAGUUAUUAGUUACAGCAUUUUUGGAGAAGGAAGGGAUGAAUCUGUGUUGCUUGUUGCUUACAUAAGCUGCUGUAAGAGACGGGUGGACCUCGAGCCUGUGAGCACAGUGGGGAGGUGGUUAAGAGCCGGUAAAGGUGCAGCAGUCUGCAACUGGAGCCACUACAGCCACAGCUUGAGGAGGAGGGAAGAACAGGCAGAGUACCUGAGCCCCAAAAACGUCAUCCCAGGGCUUUAGGAUAUCAGCAUCAGGAGUCCUAUCUCAACCUGUCACAACCAGGAGAGAUGGAGAAACAGUUCCUCCCACACAGCAGCUGAGACAGAGUGUUGUUCCCAAGACUGUUGAUUCCCGAAGUCAUUGGCUCUCAGAGGGCUUGUUAAAGCACAGAGAGCUGGGCCA